rnacentral:rRNA from 1 species
GAUGAACGCUGGCGGCGUGCCUAAUACAUGCAAGUCGAGCGAACGGACGAGAAGCUGGCUUCUCUGAUGUUAGCGGCGGACGGGUGAGUAACACGGGGAUAACCUACCUAUAAGACGGGGAUAACGUCGGGGAACCGGAGCUAAUACCGGCGAAUAUUUUGAACCGCAUGGUUCAAAAGUGAAAGACGGUCUUGCUGUCACUUAUAGAUGGAUCCGCGCUGCAUUAGCUAGUUGGUAAGGUAACGGCUUACCAAGGCAACGAUGCAUAGCCGACCUGAGAGGGUGAUCGGCCACACUGGAACUGAGACACGGUCCAGACUCCUACGGGAGGCAGCAGUAGGGAAUCUUCCGCAAUGGGCGAAAGCCUGACGGAGCAACGCCGCGUGAGUGAUGAAGGUCUUCGGAUCGUAAAACUCUGUUAUUCGGGAAGAACAUAUGUGUAAGUAACUGUGCACAUCUUGACGGUACCUAAUCAGAAAGCAACGGCUAACUACGUG